AAGUUUCUGUACAUCCAUAGAAAAAAUUAAAAAGAAGAAAAAAUGACAACACGUUAUAGAAUUCAACAUGAACGUCCCCUCACAACAGAAUCAACGUUUUCUACUUUGGGGAAUGGCAUCAAAAAGUUAAUUCCUCUUAUCAAGGGUAUU